AUUGAACGCUGGCGGCAGGCUUAACACAUGCAAGUCGAGCGGAGAUGAGGUGCUUGCACCUUAUCUCAGCGGCGGACGGGUGAGUAAUGCUUAGGAAUCUGCCUAUUAGUGGGGGACAACAUUCCGAAAGGAAUGCUAAUACCGCAUACGUCCUACGGGAGAAAGCAGGGGAUCUUCGGACCUUGCGCUAAUAGAUGAGCCUAAGUCGGAUUAGCUAGUUGGUGGGGUAAAGGCCUACCAAGGCGACGAUCUGUAGCGGGUCUGAGAGGAUGAUCCGCCACACUGGGACUGAGACACGGCCCAGACUCCUACGGGAGGUAGCAGUGGGGAAUAUUGGACAAUGGGCGGAAGCCUGAUCCAGCCAUGCCGCGUGUGUGAAGAAGGCCUUUUGGUUGUAAAGCACUUUAAGCGAGGAGGAGGCUACCUAGAUUAAUACUCUGGGAUAGUGGACGUUACUCGCAGAAUAAGCACCGGCUAACUCUGUGCCAGCAGCCGCCGUAAGAC
rnacentral:rRNA from 1 species